rnacentral:rRNA from 1 species
GACGUAGGGCGCGAGCGUUGUCCGGAAUUAUUGGGCGUAAAGGGCUCGUAGGCGGUUUGUCGCGUCGGGAGUGAAAUCAUCUGGCUUAACUGGGUGCUUGCUUUCGAUACGGGCAGACUAGAGGUAUGCAGGGGAGAACGGAAUUCCUGGUGUAGCGGUGAAAUGCGCAGAUAUCAGGAGGAACACCGGUGGCGAAGGCGGUUCUCUGGGCAUGAUCUGACGCUGAGGAGCGAAAGUGUGGGGAGCGAACAGG